GCGGGUGUCGUAUAAUGGUCAUUACCUUUGCUUCCCAAGCAAAAGACGACGGUUCGAUUCCGUUCACCCGCU
rnacentral:tRNA from 1 species